AGUGGUGAUGCACUGAACUGAAUUUUCCUGCUCUACUGCACAGAGGUUUUCUACUGACACAUAAACCUUUUAUUGAUGCAAAAACGUGCAGAAUCCCCCCUGGAAAAAGGAUACCAAAACUGGGGAAAGGCAGCAGCAGGAUGGAAGGCUGCCGAGAUCGUCGUGGUGGCUCCUGCAGUCACAAGACUGGCUACAGGGCACUUACGAAUAUGGCGCUGCUAGAGAUCUUUAAAAGUGCUGCGUGCCAAAACACGAGGAUCCGUCCAGCAGCAUUUACCCCCGCAGUGACUAGCGCGGACCAG